CCAAGAUGGUGGCCUCCGUGGACCUAGAGUUGAAGAAGGCCUUCAUAGAGCUUCAAGCCAAAGUUACUGACACUCAAAAUAAGGUGAAGCUUGUAGACGUACAGAUUGAACAGCUACACAGAAUGAAAAAGCACGCACAUCUUACUGACACAGAGAUUAUGACUUUGGUAGAUGAGACUAACAUGUAUGAAGGUGUAGGAAGAAUGUUUAUUCUACAAUCCAAGGAAGUAAUUCACAAUCAGCUGUUAGAGAAACAGAAAAUAGCAGAAGAAAAUGUUAGAGAACUAGAGCAGAAAAAGUCCUCCCUGGAGCGGAGCGUUAAGGAAGCCGAAGACAACAUCCUUGAAAUGCUGACGGUACAAAGGACAUGGUAG